rnacentral:rRNA from 1 species
GGGGUGAGUAACACGUGGAUAACCUACCUAUAAGACUGGGAUAACUUCGGGAAACCGGAGCUAAUACCGGAUAAUAUAUUGAACCGCAUGGUUCAAUAGUGAAAGACUGUUUUGCUGUCACUUAUAGAUGGAUCCGCGCCGCAUUAGCUAGUUGGUAAGGUAACGGCUUACCAAUGCGACGAUGCGUAGCCGACCUGAGAGGGUGAUCGGCCACACUGGAACUGAGACACGGUCCAG